rnacentral:rRNA from 1 species
GAUGAACGCUGGCGGCGCGCCUAACACAUGCAAGUCGAACGAUUAAAGCACCUUCGGGUGUGUAUAAAGUGGCGAACGGCUGAGUAACACGUGGGCAACCUGCCCCUUUCAUUGGGAUAGCCACGGGAAACCGUGGAUAAUACCGAAUACUUCGAGACUUCCGCAUGGAAGACUCGAGAAAGCUCCGGCGGAGAGGGAUGGGCCCGCGGCCUGUUAGCUUGUUGGUGGGGUAACGGCCUACCAAGGCAAUGAUGGGUAGCUGGGUUGAGAGACCGGCCAGCCAGAUUGGGACUGAGACACGGCCCAGACUCCUACGGGAGGCAGCAGUGGGGAAUCUUGCACAAUGGGCGAAAGCCUGAUGCAGCGACGCCGCGUGCGGGAUGAAGGCCUUCGGGUUGUAAACCGCUUUCAGCAGGGACGAGGCGAAAGUGACGGUACCUGCAGAAGAAGCCCCGGCUAACUACGUG